UGUCAAGCCCUUGUACAAACUGUUUCUUUGGGCUGCUACAUAAGCACCUAAAACUGUUAUGCAAACGACUGUAAAGUGAAUGUGAAUGUCAAAUUGCUCAUCCAGCACUUCCCAG
rnacentral:lncRNA from 12 species